rnacentral:rRNA from 1 species
AGAGUUUGAUCCUGGCUCAGGAUGAACGCUAGCGGCAGGCUUAACACAUGCAAGUCGAGGGGUAACAGGGAUUAGUUUACUAAUUUGCUGACGACCGGCGCACGGGUGAGUAACGCGUAUACAAUUUGCCUUUUACAGGAGGAUAGCCCAGAGAAAUUUGGAUUAAUACUCCAUGGUAUUAUAAGAUCGCAUGGUUUUAUAAUUAAAGUUUCGGCGGUAGAAGAUGAGUAUGCGUCCUAUCAGCUAGUUGGUAAGGUAACGGCUUACCAAGGCGACGAUAGGUAGGGGUCCUGAGAGGGAGAUCCCCCACACUGGUACUGAGACACGGACCAGACUCCUACGGGAGGCAGCAGUGAGGAAUAUUGGUCAAUGGAGGCAACUCUGAACCAGCCAUGCCGCGUGCAGGAAGACUGCCCUAUGGGUUGUAAACUGCUUUUAUACAGGAAGAAACUUAUCCACGUGUGGAUAACUGACGGUACUGUACGAAUAAGGACCGGCUAACUCCGUGCCAGCAGCCGCGGUAAUACGGAGGGUCCAAGCGUUAUCCGGAAUCAUUGGGUUUAAAGGGUCCGUAGGCGGGCGAUUAAGUCAGAGGUGAAAUCCCACAGCUCAACUGUGGAACUGCCUUUGAUACUGGUUGUCUUGAGUUACAGUGGAAGUAGAUAGAAUAUGUAGUGUAACCGGUGAAAUGCAUAGAUUUUACAUAGAAUACCCGAUUGCGAAGGCAGUCUACUAACUGCCACUGACCUUAGGGACGAAAGCGUGGGGGCGAACAGGGAUAA